rnacentral:rRNA from 1 species
UACGUAGGGUGCAAGCGUUAAUCGGAAUUACUGGGCGUAAAGCGUGCGCAGGCGGUUUUGUAAGUUUUGUCGUGAAAGCCCCGGGCUCAACCUGGGAAUUGCGAUGAAGACUGCAAGGCUUGAAUCUGGCAGAGGGGGGUAGAAUUCCACGUGUAGCAGUGAAAUGCGUAGAGAUGUGGAGGAACACCGAUGGCGAAGGCAGCCCCCUGGGUCAAGAUUGACGCUCAUGCACGAAAGCGUGGGGAGCAAACAGG